UACGAAGGGGGCUAGCGUUGUUCGGAUUUACUGGGCGUAAAGCGCACGUAGGCGGAUUGUUAAGUCGGGGGUGAAAUCCUGGAGCUCAACUCCAGAACUGCCUUCGAUACUGGCAAUCUCGAGUCCGGAAGAGGUAAGUGGAACUCCUAGUGUAGAGGUGGAAUUCGUAGAUAUUAGGAAGAACACCAGUGGCGAAGGCGGCUCACUGGCCCGGUACUGACGCUGAGGUGCGAAAGCGUGGGGAGCAAACAGG
rnacentral:rRNA from 1 species